rnacentral:tRNA from 1 species
GCGAGUGUAGUAUAGCGGCUAUUAUGUCUGGCUUCCAACCAGAAGAUGAGGGUUCGAUUCCCUUCACUCGCU